CAGUAGCCACGGUAAUACGAAGGGUGCAAGCGUUACUCGGAAUUACUGGGCGUAAAGCGUGCGUAGGUGGUGGUUUAAGUCCGUUGUGAAAGCCCUGGGCUCAACCUGGGAAUUGCAGUGGAUACUGGAUCACUAGAGUGUGGUAGAGGAUAGUGGAAUUUCCGGUGUAGCAGUGAAAUGCGUAGAGAUCGGAAGGAACAUCUGUGGCGAAGGCGACUAUCUGGGCCAACACUGACACUGAGGCACGAAAGCGUGGGGAGCAAACAGGAUUAGAGACCCGCGUAGUCCCUGUCUCUUAUAA
rnacentral:rRNA from 1 species